GCUGCGGUAAGUUUUAUUCGGUUAAAUAUCAAGUUUUAGAUUGAUGUUUGUUGGAUUGUGUGUCCACAGGUGUUUGUACUUUGUGUCAUAAUAAAAUGACGGUAAAAGGCUCCGCCCACCUUCUAUCCAUGUCUCACCAUGCAACGACUUUGUGAAUGGACUGGAGAAGUGUAGUGGCAGAGUCCUCCGUCAGGAAUAAGA